UACGGAGGGUGCGAGCGUUGUCCGGAUUUAUUGGGUUUAAAGGGUGCGUAGGCGGCCUUAUAAGUCCGGGGUGAAAGCCCGUUGCUCAACAACGGAACUGCCCUGGAUACUGUGAGGCUUGAGUACAGACGAGGUUGGCGGAAUGGACCGAGUAGCGGUGAAAUGCAUAGAUACGGUCCAGAACCCCGAUUGCGAAGGCAGCUGACUAGGCUGUUACUGACGCUGAGGCACGACAGCGUGGGGAGCGAACAGG
rnacentral:rRNA from 1 species